GAAAGAACUAGGUGUGCGACAAGUAGGGCGGGACACGUGAAAUCCUGUCUGAAGAUGGGGGGACCAUCCUCCAAGGCUAAAUACUCGUGAUCGACCGAUAGUGAACCAGUACCGUGAGGGAAAGGCGAAAAGAACCCCGGGAGGGGAGUGAAAUAGAUCCUGAAACCGCAUGCAUACAAACAGUCGGAGCCUCGCAAGGGGUGACGGCGUACCUUUUGUAUAAUGGGUCAGCGACUUACGUUCAGUAGCAAGCUUAACCGUAUAGGGCAGGCGUAGCGAAAGCGAGUCCGAAUAGGGCGUUCAGUUGCUGGGCGUAGACCCGAAACCAAGUGAUCUAUCCAUGGCCAGGAUGAAGGUGCGGUAACACGUACUGGAGGUCCGAACCCACUAACGUUGAAAAGUUAGGGGAUGAGCUGUGGAUAGGGGUGAAAGGCUAAACAAACUUGGAAAUAGCUGGUUCUCUCCGAAAACUAUUUAGGUAGUGCCUCGUGUCUCACCUUCGGGGGUAGAGCACUGUCAUGGUUGGGGGGUCUAUUGCAGAUUACCCCGCCAUAGCAAACUCCGAAUACCGAAGAGUGCAAUCACGGGAGACAGACAUCGGGUGCUAACGUCCGGUGUCAAGAGGGAAACAACCCAGACCGCCAGCUAAGGUCCCCAAAUAUAGCUAAGUGGGAAACGAAGUGGGAAGGCUAAAACAGUCAGGAGGUUGGCUUAGAAGCAGCCACCCUUUAAAGAAAGCGUAAUAGCUCACUGAUCGAGUCGUCCUGCGCGGAAGAUGUAACGGGGCUAAGCUAUAUACCGAAGCUGCGGAUGC
rnacentral:rRNA from 1 species